CUGCCUCCAAGCUCCCCACACCCGUGCACAUCCCCCUCCUGGUCCUCCCUGCCUGCCUUCCAGGGUGAGAAUGCAUUCCUUUGACUGGGCUCCGCGAACCUAGGAUAGAGGCAAGGGACUCAAGUGCAUUCGGGGAAGUCAAGGUCGAAAACACACUGUCCUCAAGGAACUUCUGGUUGUGUGUGAGAUAACGGACAGCUGAGGGAACGAGGCACCGGGAGACUAAGGAGUUUGCCAGGUGAUCCAACCAGCUAGGAAAUGAGAUUUGGACACAAGGAGUUUGUUCCUAAGAAAAAUAUGUACCAAGAAGGUUCUCACGAGCAAACGGCAGGCUCCCCAGCCCCCGACAUUCCGGCUCCCCGGAGUUUAAGAGGGAAAAAAGAGUGGAUUGAAAUGAGGAAAUAUUCGUGUGAAGGAGGGAAAGGCAGCUGGAAGUACGACACUCAUCCGGAGGUGAA